rnacentral:rRNA from 1 species
GACAAACCGGAGGAAGGUGGGGAGUGAACGUCAAGUCAUCAUGGCCCUUACGGCCUGGGCUACACACGUGCUACAAUGGUCGGUACAAAGGGUUGCCAAGCCGCGAGGUGGAGCUAAUCCCAUAAAACCGAUCGUAGUCCGGAUCGCAGUCUGCAACUCGACUGCGUGAAGUCGGAAUCGCUAGUAAUCGUGAAUCAGAAUGUCACGGUGAAUACGUUCCCGGGCCUU